GAAUUGCGAUAAGUAAUGUGAAUUGCAGAAUUCAGUGAAUCAUCGAAUCUUUGAACGCACCUUGCACUCUUUGGUAUUCCGAAGAGUAUGUCUGUUUGAGUGUCAUGAAACUCUCAACCCCCUUGUUUUGUAAUGAAACGAGCGUGGGCUUGGAUUAUGGCUGUUUGUCGGCGUCAUUGCCGGCUCAGCUGAAAUACACGAGCAACCCAUUUGAAAUAGGCGGUUUGACUCGGCGUAAUAAUUAUUUCGCUGAGGACGUCUUCUUUAAAGUUGGUGGUGCUUCUAAUGCGCUUUUAAUUAAGCAUCUUAAGCUUUAGACCUCAAAUCAGUCAGGACUACCCGCUGAACUUAA
rnacentral:misc_RNA from 1 species